rnacentral:rRNA from 1 species
GCGGCGUGCUUAACACAUGCAAGUCGAACGGAAAGGCCCUGCUUUUGUGGGGUGCUCGAGUGGCGAACGGGUGAGUAACACGUGAGUAACCUGCCCUUGACUUUGGGAUAACUUCAGGAAACUGGGGCUAAUACCGGGUAGGAGCUCCUGCUGCAUGGUGGGGGUUGGAAAGUUUCGGCGGUUGGGGAUGGACUCGCGGCUUAUCAGCUUGUUGGUGGGGUAGUGGCUUACCAAGGCUUUGACGGGUAGCCGGCCUGAGAGGGUGACCGGCCACAUUGGGACUGAGAUACGGCCCAGACUCCUACGAGAGGCAGCAGUGGGGAAUAUUGCACAAUGGGCGGAAGCCUGAUGCAGCAACGCCGCGUGCGGGAUGACGGCCUUCGGGUUGUAAACCGCUUUCGCCUGUGACGAAGCGUGAGUGACGGUAAUGGGUAAAGAAGCACCGGCUAACUACGUGCCAGCAGCCGCGGUGAUACGUAGGGUGCGAGCGUUGUCCGGAUUUAUUGGGCGUAAAGGGCUCGUAGGUGGUUGAUCGCGUCGGAAGUGUAAUCUUGGGGCUUAACCCUGAGCGUGCUUUCGAUACGGGUUGACUUGAGGAAGGUAGGGGAGAAUGGAAUUCCUGGUGGAGCGGUGGAAUGCGCAGAUAUCAGGAGGAACACCAGUGGCGAAGGCGGUUCUCUGGGCCUUUCCUGACGCUGAGGAGCGAAAGCGUGGGGAGCGAACAGGCUUAGAUACCCUGGUAGUCCACGCUGUAAACGGUGGGUACUAGGUGUGGGGUCCAUUCCACGGGUUCCGUGCCGUAGCUAACGCUUUAAGUACCCCGCCUGGGGAGUACGGCCGCAAGGCUAAAACUCAAAGGAAUUGACGGGGCCCCGCACAAGCGGCGGAGCAUGCGGAUUAAUUCGAUGCAACGCGUAGAACCUUACCUGGGUUUGACAUGGAUCGGGAGUGCUCAGAGAUGGGUGUGCCUCUUUUGGGGUCGGUUCACAGGUGGUGCAUGGCUGUCGUCAGCUCGUGUCGUGAGAUGUUGGGUUAAGUCCCGCAACGAGCGCAACCCUUGUUCACUGUUGCCAGCACGUUAUGGUGGGGACUCAGUGGAGACCGCCGGGGUCAACUCGGAGGAAGGUGGGGAUGACGUCAAGUCAUCAUGCCCCUUAUGUCCAGGGCUUCACGCAUGCUACAAUGGCUGGUACAGAGAGUGGCGAGCCUGUGAGGGUGAGCGAAUCUCGGAAAGCCGGUCUCAGUUCGGAUUGGGGUCUGCAACUCGACCUCAUGAAGUCGGAGUCGCUAGUAAUCGCAGAUCAGCAACGCUGCGGUGAAUACGUUCCCGGGGCUUGUACACACCGCCCGUCAAGUCAUGAAAGCUGGUAACACCCGAAGCCGGUGGCCUAACCGUUGUGGGGGAGCCGUCGAAGGUGGGACUGGUGAUUAGGACUAAGUCGUA